rnacentral:rRNA from 1 species
CGCACGGGUGCGUAACGCGUAACCAACCUACCUGGAUCUGGGGGAUAGCCCGCCGAAAGGCGGAUUAAUACCGCAUAAGCAGUGGAGACCGCAUCGUCUUUUUUGUAAAGAUUUAUUGGAUUCAGAUGGGGUUGCGUAGCAUUAGCUAGUUGGCGGGGUAACGGCCCACCAAGGCGACGAUGCUUAGGGGACCUGAGAGGGUGAUCGGACACACUGACACUGAAUAACGGGUCAG